rnacentral:lncRNA from 1 species
GGGCACAGGCCCGCACUCCAAGUUAUCAACAAUGCAACGUUUAUGUGAGAUCGGAUAAGAAAACCAGGUAUGUGGUGGGGGCUUGGCGAGCCGUCGACUUCGUCUAACGUGAACGUUUGCAGUGAGGCUGGCUCCUUCUGGAGGAAAUUAUUCUGCUGCAAAUCUGGGAUGGGGAAUGAAAAAGACCCACCGGGGGGGGGGGGGUAUUAAGAGAUGAUUGUUGUAUUGAUGCAGGUGUAAAAGGUUGUCUCAAGAGAGAUAUUAUAAGGAUUAUCUCAAGAGAUAUAUUAUAUUCCACAGUGUGAAUUCGCAUAUUGCUUCG